AACGUAGGAGACAAACGUUAUCCGGAGUUACUGGGCGUAAAGGGCGUGUAGGUGGUUUCGUAAGUCUGGCGUGAAAUUUUUCGGCUUAACCGGGAAAGGUCGUCGGAUACUGCGGGACUGGAGGACGGUAGAGGCGUGUGGAAUUCCGGGUGUAGUGGUGAAGUGCGUAGAGAUCCGGAGGAACACCAGUGGCGAAGGCGACACGCUGGGCCGUACCUGACACUGAUGCGCGACAGCAUGGGGAGCAAACAGG
rnacentral:rRNA from 1 species